rnacentral:rRNA from 1 species
CAGUCGCCGCGGGAAUACAGAGGGUGCGAGCGUUAAUCGGAUUUACUGGGCGUAAAGCGUGCGUAGGCGGCUUCUUAAGUCGGAUGUGAAAUCCCUGAGCUUAACUUAGGAAUUGCAUUCGAUACUGGGAAGCUAGAGUAUGGGAGAGGAUGGUAGAAUUCCAGGUGUAGCGGUGAAAUGCGUAGAGAUCUGGAGGAAUACCGAUGGCGAAGGCAGCCAUCUGGCCUAAUACUGACGCUGAGGUACGAAAGCAUGGGGAGCAAACAGGAUUAGAUACCCGUGUAGUCCCUGUUCUUAUACA